GAUGAAGAACGUAGCAAAAUGCGAUACUUGGUGUGAAUUGCAGAAUCCCGUGAACCAUCGAGAUUUUGAACGCAAGUUGCGCCCGAAGCCUUUUGGCCGAGGGCACGUCUGCCUGGGCGUCACGCAUCGCGUCGCCCCCCACAAUUCUCCGUAAAGGGAACGUGUGUUUUGGGGGCGGAUAUUGGUCUCCCGUGCUCAUGGCGUGGUUGGCCGAAAUAGGAGUCCUUUCGAUGGACGCACGAACUAGUGGUGGUCGUAAAAACCCUCGUCUUUUGUUUCGUGCUGUUGCUCGCAAGGUAAACUCUUUAAAAACCCCAAUGUGUCGUCUCUUGACGACGCUUCGACCGCGACCCCAGGUCAGGCGGGACUACCCGCUGAGUUUAAGCAUAUCAAUAAGCGGAGGA
rnacentral:misc_RNA from 1 species